rnacentral:miRNA from 8 species
UGGCUUGUUAGACACACUGGCAC